UCUGCUUUGGAGUCGCACCCACCUAGAAAGGCAUCCUCGAGCUGCUUCAUACAUCGCAUGAGCCGAUCGUUCCCGACGCUGCACUCAGCUUUAUUUUGCAACAAGCGAAGCGUGUUUCUUGUUUCGGUUGAUGUCGGCACCUCUCGAGGCCCUUCGUCGUCGUUGUCAUC
rnacentral:lncRNA from 1 species